rnacentral:lncRNA from 1 species
GAAAAUUCUAGAACUGAAGAUGGGUUAAGCCACAGACACUGCUUCUCAUCUCCAUACCUCCGAGCUCCUGACAGGCUGCAGCUGGUAACGCCUCCCCCUCCUGGCCCAGCUUGCCUAGCUGCCCUCACCUUGACAACCACAGAAAAGCCAAAGACUGCACACAUGUGCACCACACUAUUUAUCCUCCUGCCUGUGUUUGCUACAGUAGCCCCACAAAAAACAUAACAAGGCCACAACAGAGAUGCGACACGUGCCAUGUACCAACUCCCCACACUUCUCAAGGAGGAAAGGCACCUGGUGAUGUUCUGCAGUUCAUCCCCUGCAGCACCUGAGCACCCUUCUCUCUCAGCAUACAUCCCUGCCUGCUGGAGGAAAGCCAGGGACCUGCACGAAACAUCAGCACGCGGCGUCCCAGCCCAUGCAGUUGUCAUGGACAACAGGAGUUCAGAGGAAAGUGUGGGGCAUGUAGACCAUAUGGGCUGCAGGAAUUCAGGUAGCUAUCAGAGUCCAGGAUGAUUUAGGGAAAGGAGUUUACAAAACAGGCUUAUUUUGGAAAGGUUGGUGCUGAGAAGCAGUCCUUCCAAAUAUUGGGGGGCAGUCAAAGCAAGGGCAAAGAGAUGCAGAUGGGAUAGAGACAGUACUCAGGGAGGGGACAGGGAGGAACCACCUUCCUGGCCAAGGCUGGUGAGGCAGUCUUGCACCAAGGUUUAGGGCAGGGGUAUCCAAUCUUUUGGCUUCCAUAGGCGACAUUGGAAGAAGAAAAAUUGUCUUGGGCCACACAUAAAACACACUAACACUAACGAUAGCUGAUGAGCUUUAAAAAAGGUCGGUGCAUAAAUGUCAUAAUGUUUUGAGAAAGUUUAUGAAUUUGUGUUGGGCUGCAUUCAAAGCCAUCCUGGGCCACAGGUUGGACAAGCUUUGCUUAAGGGGAACAGGGACCAACCGCUUCCUCCUCCCACUGCCCUGCAAGCUGGCAUUUUCUCCUUCCCCUCCCCCUGCAAAUGACCAACUUUCUCAAAAUAACUACUUCGCAGCCCUUUCUUGAGGGGCUUUUAAUGGCUUUUGAAAUAUAAGCCCGGAGCUACAAAUGCUGCCUGGCCAAUUUACUCGAAUGCUUCACCUCCCCAGACAUUUUUUCUAAAAUGACUUUCCUUCUUCCACCACAAACAGAGCCUU